UUGAUUUCUGUUUAUUUUGUGUAAUUUGCAAGAUCUUUUGUUAACAUGAUUUUGGGUGACAUUUUUGACAAUCUCCGUCGUGAAGUUGACGUUAUUUUGGUGCUCCUCUUUAGUUCUUAUGAGCACUUGGGAGAGGAGGUGUACAAGGUUUAUGUCAUGCCUGAUGGUGACAUUUGAUCUUUGAUAUAUCGCAGACCACUUGGGAAAUAAACCUCCUUGAGAUCUCCAGAGCUGUUGGUUGUCCGGUCUUUUCUAUUACACACAACGCAUGUCUCUAUAACUUCAGUCGAUUUGGAAAAACAACAAUGGGUGGUUACAGCAUCAUCCACUUCAAACAAUUAUCAACAAAUAUUUUUGGAAUCUUCAUGUGUCAACUCAGCCAUAAAAAAAUAAUAUUCCAACGGAGAUGCAGAUGUGGAGGUGGAUGGUGGGGACAGACUUUGUCACCCUACAGGAUGUUCUUGUUUGCUUUAGGGGCAUCUGCCAUACUUGUAUUUGGAUUCAAAGAGAAUCCAAAUAUAACAUUUCUCCAUGAGAACAUCGAUGGCAACCAGCGGGUUUUCCCUGAAGCAAAUACAUGCAGCAUGACUUUGAAGUUGCCCAUUGGACAAGAAUAUGACGAGUUUUGUCAUUUUAUGACAGCUGCUCUUUUACUAUCUCCAACGUUUGGGUUAGCAUAAAAGCAUG